rnacentral:rRNA from 1 species
UACGUAGGUGGCAAGCGUUGUCCGGAAUUAUUGGGCGUAAAGCGCGCGCAGGUGGUUCUUUAAGUCUGAUGUGAAAGCCCCCGGCUCAACCGGGGAGGGUCAUUGGAAACUGGGGAACUUGAGUGCAGAAGAGGAUAGUGGAAUUCCAAGUGUAGCGGUGAAAUGCGUAGAGAUUUGGAGGAACACCAGUGGCGAAGGCGACUGUCUGGUCUGUAACUGACACUGAGGCGCGAAAGCGUGGGGAGCGAUCCGG